rnacentral:lncRNA from 1 species
UUAGUCUCAAGGCUUUGGGCCUUUAUGUCCACAUGAUUGUGUGCAUCUUCAUAUUAUUUGGUUUCAGACAUCUUCCAUUAUCAUAUAGAUAACUGAACAUUUUUACUUGGAUGUGAGAAGCUGCAGCUAAUGUAAUGUCAUCUCUUUGCGUGCAAGUCACUUUUUCCUUGCUUUUAUGAUCCUGUCUUUCUACUUUAUGGGAAGAUUGGAGACCAGAGAGGGGGGGGGGGCAUACUAUGGAUUUUUGCACUCAAUACAUCAAUGACCCACUUUGGUGUUUUGUGUAACCUUGCUUAUUUUUCACAUGCCCAUGAGGGUCAUUCUGUUUGUUUUGCUCUGUGUGUGUUUCUGUGAGUGUGAAUGCCGUUCAGGUCUCAAGAGAGCGUUUCGGAUCUAUACUCAUUGGCCUGUUGCUGUGGUCGAGCUGGAGUUCAGAUCUGAUAGCGAGUGUCUCCUGACCACUGAUCUGAGACCAUCGCUGCUGUUGAUGUUAAAUCAUUUCCUUCAGGAUUUAGAUUUUGCACUGGUCUUAGAAAGGCCCAUUGCUCAUCGCUCUCCCACUCGGUGUCCUGCAGCUGGGGAUUAUGGGUAAAUGUGGAUGUGACCUCAUCCUCAGGUGAUGCCUUUGGAGCCUGCUGCUCCUUACAGUCCUGCUCUUCUGUCCUCAAGAGACUUCAUGCAGACAUAAUACAGGCUUUCAUUUAAGGGCGGUGGGGCCAAGGGCGAAUCUGCUUCUCUGAGGCUUCUGUCAAAGGAACCUUAUCUAUUAUGAGUGAGUCUUUAUCUUACGUAUUUCUCUGGUGCCCUCUGUACUGUUUGAGUGGAACAAAAGAGCUCUUUGCCUAAGAAAGUGAAUUUAUUUCUGACAUUGUGGUCACUGAACUCAGCCCUCUGUGAAUUAAAUUGCCCUGGUUGUGCUCGAGGGAUCUUCUGAGUGUUAAAUGUUGUCUCGUCACCAACUGGGAUGUUUAUUGUAUUGAAUUGUGUCUAGUGUA